AUGUCUGCUGCAUCGGGCUAUGUCUCCGUCCCUCGCCGUCCGGUGAUCUUCGAUGGUACUAACUACACCGAGUUCGCUGGCUUCAUGCGCAUUCACAUGCGUGGCAUCCGUCUCUGGGGUGUUCUUUCUGGCGAGGUCUGCUGUCCGCCACGUCCGGUUCCUCCGGUGGCCCCUACUCCGCCGACUCCACUGGUUCUUCCUACGGAUGCAAAUCAGGCCGCCAAGGAUGCGGCUAAGAUUGCUGAUGAGGCUGCUGAUCGUGCCUAUGAUGAGAGGGCUUUGACUUAUGAGGAGGCUCUUCAGACGUAUCAUGGUGCUUUGUCUGUUUACACUCAGUGGCUUGAUGAUGAUGCUCGUGUUGCAGCUGUUCUCACUGCUAGUGUUCUGCCUCAGUUUGCUUCUGAGUUUCUGGGUCUUCCUACUGUCUUCCAGAUGUGGACCUGCCUUCGUCAGCGCUAUGAGCCCUCUGGUGAUGCCUUAUAUCUUUCUGUGGUUCGUCAGGAGCAUGCUCUUCAGCAGGGUGACUCUACUGUUGAUGACUUUUAUGCACAGAGUUCUGCUAUCUGGCGCCAACUUGAUUCUCUCCGCAGUGCUGGUUGUCGUACUUGCCCCUGCUGCCAGGCUGUCCAGGCCGAUUUGGAGUUUCAUCGCGUCUACGAGUUCCUGUCUCGGCUCCGUAAGGAGUUUGAGCCCCGGCGUGCUCAGUUGUUUGCUCGUGGCCGUAUUUCUCUCAUGGAGGCGCUUUCAGAGAUUCGUGCUGAGGAGACUCGCCUACGUGGUGCUGGUUUGCUGGAGGUUCCCUCUGUGCUCGCUACUCGGGUUUCUUCCACUCCACCUGUUGCACAGCCCCAUUCUCGCUCGAGUGCUCCGCCGCUCUUGCCCACUCCUUCUGGAGGCUCAGGUCGGCCCCGUUCACAUUGUGACUACUGCAACAAUGAUGGUCAUAUUGAGUCCCAGUGCUACACAAAGCGGAAACACCUGCGCAAGGCGCGAUCAUCCUCCUCCGGGACUUCGUCAUCUCCCUCGCCAGCUUCAGCCAUUGCUUUGACUGAGCAGGAUAUUCUGAGACUUAAGCGUCUGCUCGCGGCUUCAGGUUCUUCCUCGACGGGUACUGCUGGUUCUGUGACUGAUGCUUCCCGCACUGAGCACCCGCCCUCUACACAGUCAGGUACAUCCCCAUGGGUUCUGGAUUCUGGAGCUUCUUUUCAUAUGUCUUCUCAUUCUUCCGCUUUGUCUUCUCUUCGCUCGCUGGAUUCUCCUGUUCAUGUCUUCACUGCUGAUGGUACUCCACUUUCUGUUGCUAGUAGAGGCCAUCUUUUCACUCCUUCUUAUUCUGUUCCUGAUGUUGCUCAUGUUCCUCGACUUACCAUGAAUCUGUUUUCUGCCGGUCAACUUACUGAUUCUGGUUGUCGUGUCAUCCUUGAUGUUGACUCUUGUUCUGUCCAGGAUCGUCGCACGCACACUCUGGUUGGGGCUGGCCCUCGCCGCCGUGAUUCUCAGGGUCUUUGGGAGUUGGACUGGCUUCAUGUUCCUUCCGCUGCCACCACCAUCGCCAGUCCCUCCGCUGUUGUCGCCUCUGUUACUGGUUCCUUCAAGCAGUGGCAUCAUCGACUUGGUCAUCUGUGUGGUUCUCGGUUAUCGUCUUUAGUUCGUCGAGGUCUUCUGGGGUCUGUCUCAGGAGAUGUCUCUUUAGAGUGUCAGGGUUGUCGUCUUGGCAAGCAGAUUCAGUUACCAUAUUCCCAUAGUGAGUCAGUGUCUAAGCGUCCUUUCGAUUUAGUCCAUUCUGAUGUAUGGGGUCCGGCUCCUUUCGCUUCGAAAGGUGGUCAUAAAUACUAUAUUAUUUUCAUCGAUGAUUUUUCUCGUUACACAUGGCUUUAUUUCAUGACUUCACGUAGUGAGGUGUUGUCUAUUUAUAAGCGUUUUGCUGCCAUGGUUCAUACUCAGUUCUCUUCACCCAUUCGUGUUUUUCAUGCUGACUCCGCUGGUGAGUAUAUCUCUAAGAUGUUGCGUGGUGUCCUUGUUGAGCAGGGUACUCUUGCCUAG
rnacentral:rRNA from 1 species